rnacentral:rRNA from 1 species
CCUACGGGUGGCAGCAGUGGGGAAUAUUGCACAAUGGGGGAAACCCUGAUGCAGCGACGCCGCGUGAGUGAAGAAGUAUUUCGGUAUGUAAAGCUCUAUCAGCAGGGAAGAAAAAAGGAGGUAACUGACUAAGAAGCCCCGGCUAACUACGUGCCAGCAGCCGCGGUAAUACGUAGGGGGCAAGGGUUAUUCGGAUUUACUGGGUGGAAAGGGAGCGUAGACGGCGCGGCAAGUCUGAAGUGAAAGGCAGGGGCUUAACCCCUGAACUGCUUUGGAAACUGCCAUGCUAGAGUGCUGGAGAGGUAAGUGGAAUUCCUAGUGUAGCGGUGAAAUGCGUAGAUAUCUGGAGGAACAUCAGUGGCGAAGGCGACUAUCUGGCACAUAACUGACGCUGAGGAGCGAAAGCGUGGGUAGCAAACAGGAUUAGAUACCCGGGUAGUC